GUAAAACGAGCAACUCCUCUCCUACCCUUACACACGCCACGAUUCCCGCCCCAGGAGGCCCGCCAAACGCGCGCGCGUCCUUUGUGAGGCUAAAAAAUAAGUCCAACUGGGAGACUUGCUGUAAGCACCAUGGUGAGCGGAUGCCUUACUGGAUUAUGCUGCGUAGCAAGACAACUUUUGGGGGGAAAAUUGCUGCUGAAUUCUGGAUCCAAGCCAGUGUAAUCUACCCAGAGCAAAGGAGAUAUCAUUGAGAUCAUCUACCUGACUCCAGACUGUGGAGCAGACUGUGGAAACUGCCAUUUUUAUGUUCAGCUUAUGAAUGGAGUAUCUGGGAAUCAGAACUACAUCAAGCUUACACUUUCAAAGCAGCAAGGUUGACUCAGCCUUCCAUCCUUCUGAGGUCGGUAAAAUGAGGACCCAGAUUGUUGGAGGCAAUAGGCUGACUCUGUAGACCGCUUAGAGCCAGCUGUAAAGCACUGUGAAGCGGUAUAUAAGUGCUAUAUAAGGACAUUGGUCUCGGGCUGAGCCUUGUAUCUUAAUCACUUUUAAAUUUGCUUAUUUAUUUAUCUGCAUAUUGGAGAGAUUAAGACCAAAUAUCUCCAAUAUUAAAACCUCUCAGCAAGGCUUUACUGCAUCAAUCAAGUGAGUUUCUGCCUCCUUAAAAGACAAUGGUGUAAAUUUGAUUUAAAUGUUUUUUUAGAAAAAAAACAUGCUGUGUUUUUUUGGGGGGGGAGGGGCUAUGCAACAAAAGGGUACCUAGUAUAUAGAUUUUGGAAAUUUGAUUAUGGAUUAAGGGGCCAGAGGUGUUUGGAAUUAUCAUUUUGAAUUGUUUAGAAAAUAUUUUGUCAUAGGAAAAUGGAGAUUACUUUUGUUUAUUUUAUGACAAGGAGACCUUGAAGGCUGAACACUAGAGUCAGAAGAUAAAGAAAGUUGAGAAAAAUCCUCAGUACAAAUUUUUGAAUAUCUUUCAAUCAGGCUUUUAAACAGAAUGGAUGAAGUACUUGAUAAAAUUGACAGAAGUUGCAAAGUAAGAAUGAGUUACAAUGGAGGUCUAUUAAUUAAUUUGAAGAGGGAUUUAAAUGUAAUGCAAAUGGAUUUAAUGGAUGACUCAUUCCCUAAAUGAAAUCAACAGAUAUUAAAUUAAGAAACUGAUCUGAAUUAUUUUCUGGAUAGAUGUCAUUUUAAAUGCAUAGUUUUAAAAUUUCAGUGCACAUACAGGUAGUCCUCAAGCACAAUUAAAUCCAAAAUUUAUGUUGCUAAGUGAGAAAUUUGUUAAGUUUGGCCCCAUUGUAUGACUUUUAUAACUUUUCUCACCAUAUUUGUUAAGUGAAUCACUGCAGUUCUUAAAUUAGUAACUUGGUUGUUAAGUGAAUUGCUUUCCCCAUUUACUUUGCUUGUCAGAAGGUCACUAAAGGGGAUUGCAUGACUCUGGACACUGAAACUGUCAUAAAUGUGAGUCAGUUGUCAAGCAUAUGAAUGUGAAUCAUAUGAUUAUGGGGAUGCUGCAACAGUCAUAAGUGUAAAAAAUGGUCAUAAGUCACUGUUUCAUUGCUAUUGUAACUUCGAACGGUCACUAAAUGAAUUGUUGUAAGUCAAAGACUAUCUGUAGUUUUAAAGUUUCAAUUGCUUUACUAUUUAUCUUUUUAUGUUCUGUAAGCCACCCAGAGUCACCCAAUUGGGGAGCUGGACAGCAUAUAAAUUAAAUAAAUAAAUGGGGGAAAAAACAGCAUUGCUAAAAUUUAGAAGGACCUUUUUUGGAAGUGACAAUCAAAAGGAUAAAUUUUGCUUAUUGAUACAAAAGAAACCUGUUAAAAUUCUGAAGGAUUUUCACUUUAAAACACAGAUGAGCAGAAAACUACCUCUUGAGACUUUUGAUUUUGAAAGGUUUAAAGAUUUUUUUUUAAUCAUGGAAAAUUUAUAUGAUUGAUUGAGCAGGAUUAAAAGAAAUAAAUAAUUGUA